rnacentral:rRNA from 1 species
UACGGAGGGUGCGAGCGUUGUCCGGAAUCAUUGGGCGUAAAGGGCGCGUAGGUGGCGGGACAAGCGUGCGGUGAAAGCUUGGGGCUCAACCCCGAGUCGGCCGUGCGAACUGUCUUGCUUGAGCACUGUAGAGGCAGGCGGAAUUCCGGGUGUAGCGGUGGAAUGCGUAGAGAUCGGAAAGAACACCAACGGCGAAAGCACUCUGCUGGGCCGACACUGACACUGGAGAGACGAAAGCUAGGGGGAGCGAAUGGG